rnacentral:rRNA from 1 species
UUGAACUGGAGAGUUUGAUCCUGGCUCAGAUUGAACGCUGGCGGUAGGCCUAACACAUGCAAGUCGAACGGUAACGGACCGCUGGGAUUCCUUCGGGAUGACCUUGGUGCCGACGAGUGGCGGACGGGUGAGUAACACGUAGGAAUCUGCCAAACAGUGGGGGACAAC